AGAAGGACUAUUAGGCCGCUAACCUAGUCUCAGCAUUCGCUACCUUCUU
rnacentral:tRNA from 1 species